GAUGAACGCUGGCGGCGUGCUUAACACAUGCAAGUCGAACGGAAAGGCUCCUGCUUGCAGGGGUACUCGAGUGGCGAACGGGUGAGUAACACGUGGGUGAUCUGCCCUGCACUUCGGGAUAAGCCUGGGAAACUGGGUCUAAUACCGGAUAGGACGAUGGUUUGGAUGCCAUUGUGGAAAGUUUUUUCGGUGUGGGAUGAGCUCGCGGCCUAUCAGCUUGUUGGUGGGGUAAUGGCCUACGAAGGCGUCGACGGGUAGCCGGCCUGAGAGGGUGUACGGCCACAUUGGGACUGAGAUACGGCCCAGACUCCUACGGGAGGCAGCAGUGGGGAAUAUUGCACAAUGGGCGCAAGCCCGAUGCAGCGACGCCGCGUGGGGGAUGACGGCCUUCGGGUUGUAAACUCCUUUCGCUAGGGACGAAGCGCAAGUGACGGUACCUGGAGAAGAAGCACCGGCUAACUACGUA
rnacentral:rRNA from 1 species